CGCUCUGGUGGACUAGUGGUUAGAGCGUCCAACUCGGAUGCGGGAGGUCGUGGGUUCGAUCCCCGGUCGAGUCA